rnacentral:rRNA from 1 species
UGGGGAAUAUUGCACAAUGGGCGAAAGCCUGAUGCAGCAACGCCGCGUGAGCGAUGAAGGCCUUCGGGUCGUAAAGCUCUGUCCUCAAGGAAGAUAAUGACGGUACUUGAGGAGGAAGCCCCGGCUAACUACGUGCCAGCAGCCGCGGUAAUACGUAGGGGGCUAGCGUUAUCCGGAAUUACUGGGCGUAAAGGGUGCGUAGGCGGUCUUUCAAGCCAGAAGUGAAAGGCUACGGCUCAACCGUAGUAAGCUUUUGGAACUGUAGGACUUGAGUGCAGGAGAGGAGAGUAGAAUUCCUAGUGUAGCGGUGAAAUGCGUAGAUAUUAGGAGGAAUACCAGUUGCGAAGGCGGCUCUCUGGACUGUAACUGACACUGAGGCACGAAAGCGUGGGGAGCAAACA